GGUUUUGUAAAAUUAAUCAAAAAUGCUGGUGGUGGCUGGCAACUUAAAAAAAAAAAAAAAAAACGCUGGAGAGGAAAGAGUUAAUAAUUUGCUUUGUCUUCAGUACAGUGAUGAUAUAAAACCCAGAUAUUUGUUUAGAAAACAACAUAUUUUUUUUAAUACCACAGUCAAUCGUUUUCCUAUAAAUUGAUCUUACAUGAAAAUAUACAGUAUUCUUUUGAUUUCAGCACGGAGAUCAUCACAUUUGGGCAGCACCACUCCUGUACUGUGAUGGAAGAGGAAUAAAACACACAAAAACAGAGAAUAUAAGAACGAAGGAGAUAAGAUGGAAGACAGAUGAGACUCGGUGACAGGAAGUGAAGACGCUCGUCUGUCUGUGAGACGGCUCGCUCCGUCCUGUGGGAGCUCCUGUCUGACACCCGCACCGCAAUUAUCAUCCGUCUCGGGGGUAAUUACCAUUGUUAAUUGGCAAACGGCACUUAGAUGAAACCACCUCGGAGCGCAGCCUUCCCAUAAUGCCCUGUGAGAGACGCUGUCCCCUCUGAGAGAUGAAAGCUCACACGCUGACCACAUCAAACGCUCCUCACACAGGUGCGUCCAGCUAAAGUUCAGCUCCCCUCGGCGCUGUUUUCACAGACGGAUCCACUUACACAGACGAGUUCAUCGGGGUCGUGACCUUUUGACCUCAUGAGGACCGCUGGAAGCAGAGGCGGCAGGAGCAGUUUCUAUGGCGACCGCUGUAGGACGCAUGAGUUUGUAUGUUCACUGAUGGACUGGAGUGCUGUGGAUUACUUGUGGAUUAUUGUGAUGUUUUUAUCAGCUGUUUGGACUCUCAUUCUGACGGCACCCAUUCACUGCAGAGCAUCCAUUGCUGAGACACUGAUGCAGUGCUACAUUUCUACAAACCUGAUGAAGACACAAACUCAUCCUGAUCUCAGAUGAACUGAGAGAUGCACUGUUCUCAGAACAGCCAGGAAGAGUCUUUCAUCUGUGUAGCCUGACCUCAGGGGAACGGUGACCGGCAUACGCCUGCUUCCACUCUAACACACGGAUAUGAGCGGGAAGAAAGGAUUUCUCACGAGACCUUUAGAAUGCAACAAGGAAGCAGAUGAACUGCAGGAAGCUGACAGUCAGAAGCAGGAAGUGACAAAUCUGGGGCACCCACGCUGCCCACGCGUCACUCGUCCUCACCUCUCCUGUCUGCAGAGAGCUUAUUAUGCAGUACAUUUAGGGAAUGAAACACAAACGCCGGCUCUGUGUCUGAACUGGACCGAAUCGAUCAGCCUGGCCAAGCAGGAGAGGUAUGACAGACUCUGAUUUGAGCAGAAAGUGUUUGGAUCUGUACUGUAAGAUCUGCAGACAGAAGCAAACUGAUGAAUGAGCUGAAACAGCCACGGACGCUUAGAGAGAACUAGAGCUGAGAGAAACCUGCCCCUCCACCACCCCCAUCCCUCCCUGAACCUCGUCUGAUCCAGAAGACUGCAGGAUUAUCGCUCAAGUUUCAGUUCAGGAUAGAGACCGAGAGCUUUCAGAGCGCCGACCGCUUGGCAGACGUGCAUCCUGUGCUGCAUGCAA
ensembl:lncRNA